ACUUUCAAAGGACAGAAGUAAUCC
rnacentral:tRNA from 1 species